GGGCGUGUAGCUCAGUUGGUAGAGCGUGUCAUUUGCAUCUACUCUGCGACUUGACAAGGCCUUUGGUUCGAUUCCUAACUCGUCCA